rnacentral:sRNA from 15 species
AAAGAACAACAAGAGCAACCGAUGAACAAUUCGCUUUUGCAGCUGA